rnacentral:rRNA from 1 species
GGGCAUUAACGUUCCCAAAAAUUUUGUGGUAUAAGCGCGCGCAGGCUGUCUCUAAAUUCUGAUGUGAAACCCUAUGGCACAACCGGGGAGGGUUUUGAAAACGGGGGAACUUGAGCCCAUAAAAGGAGAGUGGAAUUCCACGUGUAGCGGUGAAAUGCGUAGAGAUGUAGAGGAACACCAGUGGGGAAGGCCACUCUCUGGUCUGUAACUGACGCUGAGGCGCGAAAGCGUGGGGAGCAAACAAGAUUAGAUACCCUGGUAGUCCACCCCGUAAACGAUGAGUGCUAAGUGUUAGAGGGUUUCCGCCCUUUAAUGCUGAAGCAAACAUAAUAAGCCCUCCGGCUGGGGAGCACGGUCGCAAGACUGAAUCUCAAAGGAAUUGACCGGGGCCCGCAAAAGCGGUGGAUUUUGUUGUUUAAUUAGAAACAACGCCAAAAAUCUUACCAGGUUUUGACCUCCUCUGACAACACUAAAGAAGGGCUUCCCCUUCAGGGGCAGAGUGACAGGUGGUGCAUGGUUGUCGUCAGCUCGUGUCGGGAGAUGUUGGGUUAAAGUCCCGCAACCAGCGCCACCCUUGAUCGUUAGUUGCCAGCAUUCAGUUGGGCACUCUCUGUUUGCUGCCGGUGACCAACCGGGAGGAAGGUGGGGAUGACUUCUAAUCAUUUAUGCCCCCUUAUUACCUGGGGUUUACUAGUGCCUAUAAUGGGGCAGAACAAAAGU